GAAUUUAAAGAUCACUGGCCUGCUCUGUUUGACAUUCUCCAGAUUAAUAAAGAGUUUAGGAGAAUUACUACUCUGCACCUUGAGCCAACAUUUAUUAAGAUGUUGGAUUACUACACUCCUAAACUUUUCACAAUAUUUUCCUGCAAAGGAGGAGCACUCGGACAGAUUUUGAAGAAGAAAACGGGUGCCAUACAGCAGACCUCACAUCAAAACAUAGAACAGACAAGAGAUGUUGUCCUCCGUUGCUUGGUCUAUUACUUGGGUGAAAAGGAGGAAGACCUCAUCCAGGAGUACAAUGUAAGUGUCUAAAACUAAUUCAGAUAUUUGUUUGCAGAAAACUGCAAUUAGCAUUUGUUUUCCUUUACAAAAACAGAAAUACAUCUUAAACAUAAGUACGUUCCUCAUGCAAAAACAUUCUUGCACUAGUGUCAGUGUCACGCAACGUGCCGAACGGGUGAUCGCUCAGGCAGCGCGAGGGAACAGGCAGGCAGGCGGAAAACAGGGCAAACUGGGGGUUUAUUGGGGAAUGCGGGUCGACAAACACCAGGUAACAUCAAUGACAGACAAAGGACUCAGGUAAGACAUGGACUGAA